rnacentral:sRNA from 1 species
UGUAUCUGAAGUCUGACGAGGAUGAGAACCUCCGGGGGCAAGAGGUUCGACUCGAGCGAAGCGAGAGAACGUUGCGUCAGCAACGGCCCGCAAG